GUCCCGUAACUCAUGCGGUUUGGGGCCUGUCUGCAAAACAGGUAUGGCGGGGUUCGACUCCCCGACGGGACU
rfam:Arsenicibacter rosenii strain SM-1 scaffold53, whole genome shotgun sequence.